CGCACAGCGACAGCACCAACGAGGCCGACUGGAGGAGGGAGUGGGAAGGGGAAGUCCUGCUGAGCCACAACACCAACCUCAGUGGAGGAGUGGGCUUCCUCUUCUCCAGGUCUUUUAAGCCAAUCUCCCUGGAGGUCAAACACAUCAUCGAGGGGAGGUUGUUUUUAGUCAAGAGCAAGGCUGGACAUCAGCAGCAGUGGUACCCCAGGCCUGAUGGGGGCGCUGCUGAAAGCACGAGUCCUGUGCCUGCAGCAGCUGGUGGACGCAGUGGGGCCGACGCUGAGUGACGCCCCGGCCCUGGGCUCUCUGCUGGGGCUGCACUCCGUCCGGAUGGCGAGGAGGCUCGUGGAGCUGUGGAACCAGAGGCUGACUGAGGAGGAAAGGAGCCUCCUCACAGACUACAGCCAGAAAGAUGUGGAGCCGGACCCUGCAGACCCCUUCCCCGCGAUCUCCAACUGAGCCCAGGACUAGGGGAACUCACCGGCCCCCUGCUCGCCACAACACGCCCCGAAGCGCUGACAUUGCACGAAGCAGACAAGAAGACUCUGUAUUUUAACUGUGUGAAGGGCAUAAACCGGUCCGGACUGUGCGACAGGCUCCCCACUGUGUGGUCCAACAGACUGGGACAAAAUGGACCGGGCCCACAGUGGAGGAUUUUAUACAAACCUCCCCUCAAGAAACGGACUGCCAACCUCCAGUGGAGAAUUUUACACGGUGCUGUCGCCUCCAACGCUUUUAUUUCUGUUAUUAAUCCCACUGUUCUGAGCAAAUGCCCCUUCUGUGACCUCCGAGAGACUAUUUAUCAUGUUUUUACAGAGUGCAAGAGACUUGCGAGUUUCUUCUCUCUUUUAACAUCGGUUUUUAGUCUUUUUAAUGUGGUUUUUACUGAAAGAUUUUUAUCAUGGG
ensembl:lncRNA